GGUCCAAUGGUCUAGUGGUAUGAUUCUUGCUUUGGGUUGUCCGAGCUCAACUGCAAGAGGUCCCGUGUUCAAUCCACGGUUGGACCC